rnacentral:tRNA from 1 species
GCGAGAGUGGUGAAACUGGUAGACACGCCAGACUUAGGAUCUGGUGCCUUCGGCAUAAGGGUUCAAGUCCCUUCUCUCGCA